rnacentral:rRNA from 1 species
CACAAGUGUGAUCAGUAACUCUGUCCAGGAACCGUGAACAAAUUAAUGUGUUUAAGGCAAGCUCGUGUAUCCAAUACAUAGCUUGAAUAAUUUAGCAUGGAACCACUAUACCCUCUUUUUGGAGGGACCUGGUAAUAAAAGCUCGGCGGAGGACUCUGGUAUUGCGCACUUAGAGGUGAAAUUCCGAUAUUUCCGCAAGACGAACGGAUGCGUAGGCUGUCAUUGCCCAUCACACCUUUAUUGAUCAGGAACGAGAGUCAGGGGAUCGAAGAUGAUUAGAUACCGUCGUAGUCCUGACUGUAAACUAUACUAACAAGAGUUUGUGUAGACACUACUCUGUAUGAUCUUCGCAGAAUCCAAGGGAAACCUCAAGUUUUUGGGUUCUGGGGGGAGUAUAGUCGCAAGGCCGAAACUUAAAGGAAUUGACGGAAAGGCACCACCAGGAGUGGAGUUUGCGGCUUAAUUCGACUCAACGCGGGGAAACUCACCAGGUUAGGACAGAGGAGAGAUUGACAGGUUGAGAGUCCUUUCUUGAUUCUUUGAUUGGUGGUGCAUGGCCGUUCUUAGUUCGUGGAGUGAUUUGUCUGGUUAAUUCCGUUAACGAACGAGACCUUAACCUGCUAAUUAGCGCAUGGGUCGGUACCCCCGACCUUUCACCCUUUGGGUGCUUGCU